rnacentral:rRNA from 1 species
CUCAGGAUGAACGCUAGCUACAGGCUUAACACAUGCAAGUCGAGGGGCAGCAUGGUCUUAGCUUGCUAAGGCCGAUGGCGACCGGCGCACGGGUGAGUAACACGUAUCCAACCUGCCGUCUACUCUUGGACAGCCUUCUGAAAGGAAGAUUAAUACAAGAUGGCAUCAUGAGUCCGCAUGUUCACAUGAUUAAAGGUAUUCCGGUAGACGAUGGGGAUGCGUUCCAUUAGAUAGUAGGCGGGGUAACGGCCCACCUAGUCUUCGAUGGAUAGGGGUUCUGAGAGGAAGGUCCCCCACAUUGGAACUGAGACACGGUCCAAACUCCUACGGGAGGCAGCAGUGAGGAAUAUUGGUCAAUGGGCGAGAGCCUGAACCAGCCAAGUAGCGUGAAGGAUGACUGCCCUAUGGGUUGUAAACUUCUUUUAUAAAGGAAUAAAGUCGGGUAUGGAUACCCGUUUGCAUGUACUUUAUGAAUAAGGAUCGGCUAACUCCGUGCCAGCAGCCGCGGUAAUACGGAGGAUCCGAGCGUUAUCCGGAUUUAUUGGGUUUAAAGGGAGCGUAGAUGGAUGUUUAAGUCAGUUGUGAAAGUUUGCGGCUCAACCGUAAAAUUGCAGUUGAUACUGGAUAUCUUGAGUGCAGUUGAGGCAGGCGGAAUUCGUGGUGUAGCGGUGAAAUGCUUAGAUAUCACGAAGAACUCCGAUUGCGAAGGCAGCCUGCUAAGCUGCAACUGACAUUGAGGCUCGAAAGUGUGGGUAUCAAACAGGAUUAGAUACCCUGGUAGUCCACACGGUAAACGAUGAAUACUCGCUGUUUGCGAUAUACUGCAAGCGGCCAAGCGAAAGCGUUAAGUAUUCCACCUGGGGAGUACGCCGGCAACGGUGAAACUCAAAGGAAUUGACGGGGGCCCGCACAAGCGGAGGAACAUGUGGUUUAAUUCGAUGAUACGCGAGGAACCUUACCCGGGCUUAAACUGCAGAUGAAUUACGGUGAAAGCCGUAAGCCGCAAGGCAUCUGUGAAGGUGCUGCAUGGUUGUCGUCAGCUCGUGCCGUGAGGUGUCGGCUUAAGUGCCAUAACGAGCGCAACCCUUGUUGUCAGUUACUAACAGGUUCCGCUGAGGACUCUGACAAGACUGCCAUCGUAAGAUGUGAGGAAGGUGGGGAUGACGUCAAAUCAGCACGGCCCUUACGUCCUGGGCUACACACGUGUUACAAUGGGGGGUACAGAGGGCCGCUACCACGCGAGUGGAUGCCAAUCCCCAAAACCUCUCUCAGUUCGGACUGGAGUCUGCAACCCGACUCCACGAAGCUGGAUUCGCUAGUAAUCGCGCAUCAGCCACGGCGCGGUGAAUACGUUCCCGGGCCUUGUACACACCGCCCGUCAAGCCAUGGGAGCCGGGGGUACCUGAAGUGCGUAACCGCGAGGAGCGCCCUAGGGUAAAACUGGUG